GGUGGAGGGCGUGCAAGGGGGGGGGCGUUUGCACGGGGUUGGGGGGUGAGGAGAGCUGGGGGCGACUGCACAGGGCAUGGGGCAAUUGUGUGGGGGCUGGGACAACUGUGCAAGGUGUUUGCCCCCGGGGGGGGGGCAGUUACACCAGGAGGAGGGCAGUUACACCAGGUUGGGGGUAGUUACACCAAGAGGGUGGGCAGUUACACCAGGUUGGGGGCAGUUACACCAGGAGGAGGGCAGUUACACCAGGAGGGGGGGCAGUUACACCAGGAGGGGGCAGUUACACCAGGUUGGGGGCAGUUACACCAGGAGGGGGCAGUUACACCAGGAGGGGGGGCAGUUACACCAGGAGGAGGGCAGUUACACCAGGUUGGGGGUAGUUACACCAGGAGGGGGGGCAGUUACACCAGGAGGGGCAGUUACACCAGGAGGAGGGCACUUACACCAGGAGGGGGGGCAGUUACACCAGGUUGGGGGCAGUUACACCAGGAGGGGGCAGUUACACCAGGUUGGGGGCAGUUACACCAGGAGGGGGGGCAGUUACACCAGGUCGGGGCAGUUACACCAGGAGGGGGGGCAGUUACACCAGGUCGGGGCAGUUACACCAGGUUGGGGGCAGUUACACCAGGAGGGGGGGCAGUUACACCAGGUCAGGGCAGUUACACCAGGAGGGGCAGUUACACCAGGAGGGGGGGCAGUUACACCAGGAUGGGGGGCAGUUACACCAGGAGGGGGGGCAGUUACACCAGGUCAGGGCAGUUACACCAGGAGGGGGGGCAGUUACACCAGGAGGGGGCAGUUACACCAGGAGGGGGGGCAGUUACACCAGGAGGGGCAGUUACACCAGGCCCAGGAGGGGCGGGCGGUGCCGAGCGACCCCGAGUGGAGCCGAACGGAGCCGAGCGCCUCCGACAGUCCCUGAGCGCUGCCACGUGAUCUCAUGCCACGUGACCUGGUGGCCACGUGGCGCGCGCGGCGAGGGCUCGCCCCCUUCCUUGAGCCCGCGCAUGCGCACGGCCACCCAGCAUCACCCACUGCGGGCGGGGCGGGAUCGGGGCCCUGGUCAUGUGACGCACGCCAAGAUGGCGGCGCCCACGGAGGCGGCCGGCGCCAAGCGGUAGCGGGUGCGUGAGAGGCGCCGGGUGCGCGGCCGCUCCCCCCCCCCGCAGAGGGGCAGGUGAAGGGGGGCGGGGGGGGGGCUCUGGUGGUUUUGGGGG
rnacentral:lncRNA from 1 species